GAGAUGAAGCUCUACUACCUGGUGAAGGUUUUCAAGGAAGACCUGACAGUGGCACAGCACACACAACUGAUCCUUACGCUGGUGCACAAUCUAAGCACUUGUAACCACCUUCGCUGUGACCUUGCUGCCAAGCUCCUGCUAAUGAUCUGUGUGGAGCCUGGCUUCAGGAAGGAGCAGGUAGCUGAGCUCUUGCAAGGUCUGUUCCAGGAGCUGCCAAACAUCCACCUCAAAAAUGUGCAGCAGACCAUAAGUCAGGCCACGUUGGCUCUGGGGAUCCAGCAUAUCCAGGAGGUGGUGGAGGUGAUCUUAUCCCUAUGUCAGCCCUCAGAGAGGUGGAUCCUACCACUGUGGAAGGCUCUGGCCGCCAACUACCACGUGGCUCGUGAAGUUAUAACCCUACUUUACAUAAGGCUGAGGCUGCGGCCG
rnacentral:lncRNA from 1 species